GAUGAACGCUGGCGGCGUGCCUAAUACAUGCAAGUCGAGCGAACGGACGAGAAGCUUGCUUCUCUGAUGUUAGCGGCGGACGGGUGAGUAACACGUGGAUAAACUACCUAUAAGACUGGGAUAACUUCGGGAAACCGGAGCUAAUACCGGAUAAUAUUUUGAACCGCAUGGUUCAAAAGUGAAAGACGGUCUUGCUGUCACUUAUAGAUGGAUCCGCGCUGCAUUAGCUAGUUGGUAAGGUAACGGCUUACCAAGGCAACGAUGCAUAGCCGACCUGAGAGGGUGAUCGGCCACACUGGAACUGAGACACGGUCCAGACUCCUACAGGAGGCAGCAGUAGGGAAUCUUCCGCAAUGGGCGAAAGCCUGACGGAGCAACGCCGCGUGAGUGAUGAAGGUCUUCGGAUCGUAAAACUCUGUUAUUAGGGAAGAACAUAUGUGUAAGUAACUGUGCACAUCCUGACGGUACCUAAACAGAAAGCCACGGCUAACUACGUG
rnacentral:rRNA from 1 species